GAUGUCAUUUCCCUGUUGGUAUAUAGCUGUGGAAAGGCUCAGCUUGAUUCACUCACUGCUCUCUGAGGAGGACACACCUAUGCCAUCUGCAGGAAUUACUCUUUCCUCCUUGAGACUAUGCUGCAUACCCUAAAGUGACAACACUAUCUGUCUCCUGUCAAAACCUUCAAGAGACAGUGAUGAUUGCUUAACCCCUGAAGAAGGCGUUGGUGACAAAACGCGUUGGUGUUUUCUGGCUUACGCAACAUCUGCAUCUUAUUGUGAUCAAAUGCCACAAAAGGAACCCAGUGUAUUCAAUGUGGAUGAAUUUGCUUUCACUGCUGUGAAUCACCUAUUAUGUACUGCAUAUGUGGAUGUGAACUGAUACCAUUGUUUUUUUAAUCCAUUUUAUUGUGAAUAAAUCUUAAGUAAAACUGAA